rnacentral:lncRNA from 1 species
UGACAUACGGGCCUAAUAGGCCAACAUUAUUAUUUACAAACUCAAAACAAAGGACGACAAGGCUGUACAAUCUUUUAUAUACACAACAUAUGUCUACAAGCCUCUAAGAGUACAUAAAUGUCAUAAAGGUCGGAACAGAGUCCCGCCUUACCAAACAAUACACGUCUAAAUCAUACUAACCAAACGAGCAACUCCGAAGUAAAUGGAGCGCACCAACAUCUUUUACCGAGCUGAUAGUCUACUUGGAGGGCUCUCGACCUGUCUAUCAGGACCUGCGGGCAUGAAAUACAGUGUCCCCAAGCAAAAGGGACAUCAGUACAAAUAAUGUAACGAGUAUGUAAGGCACAUAAAUAAAUACAUAAGAGGCAUGAAAGACAUAUAGAGUACAUGACUUAACCUGUAAGUCUGAAUAACUUUGUAAAUCAUAAAUUACUUUUAGCGUCGUGCAUAUGCGUAUGAAUGCCAUGUCGUGCAUAAGUACAUAUUUCAUAACUUCAUCAGCCUCUGAGGGCAUCCCAUCAUAUCAUAUCGGCCACUGUGGGCAAAAUCAUCAUCGUAUACCAGCUGAUCAGGUGGUGGUGUGUAUAUAACUCCAGAACCUUUCCCAUAUCCCAUAUACAUAUAUACAUACAUAUAUACGCAUAUAUAACGCCAUUUGAAUCAUACUUACAUAUAUAUGCGUAUUAUAACGCCAUUUGAAUCAUAUUUCGGUCAUUGUGGGCAACAUCAUCAUCAUAUACCAGCUGAUCAGAUGGUGGUGCGUAUAUAAUGCCGUAACCUUUUCCCAUUCCAUAUACAUAUAUUUACAUAUAUACGCAUAUAUAACGUCAUCUGGUCAUGGAUCAAUGCACAUUAAUGCAAUGCAUGAAAAGUACGUCAAUAAAAUUAUUCGGAAGGUCAUAAGACCACUUUGCCUCUUGAGCAAUAUCAUAAAGUAACAUCUUUUCAACUUUCGUAUUUUUCUGAGACCCAUGAACAGAUGAUAAAAUAUUAUGACACAUGAGAAUUAAAGAAUAUAGAUAUUAAUAUUACUUCUAUGAGUAGAGUCAUUUAUGGAAUUUGUGCAUUUGCACGUUUCGUUCAUAUCGUAUGGAUCAUGCCAAAAGAAAGAAGGGAUAGCCUUAACAUACCCGUUUCUGCAAAAUUCUUGAACGAAAACUAUGCUUGAAUCUUGGAUUGAAAUUUGAACUGAAAUUUCAAUCGAAAUUUUUGAAGUGUUGAUAGAAUUGAUUCUCUGGUUCAAGACAACAUGCAAUUGUUUGGUUUCGCGUUUUUGGCUUUGAAAUUGGUUUCACGUUUUGGCUUUGAAAUGUUGAAAAAUCUGAUUCUUAAGUUUUUAGUUCCUUAAGAAUCUCACUCACGUUUAUUUUUGUUUGGUUUCUAAAGAU